rnacentral:rRNA from 1 species
GAUGAACGCUGGCGGCGUGCCUAAUACAUGCAAGUCGAGCGAACAGACGGGGAGCUUGCUCCUCUGACGUUAGCGGCGGACGGGUGAGUAACACGUGGAUAACCUACCUAUAAGACUGGGAUAACUUCGGGAAACCGGAGCUAAUACCGGAUAAUAUAUUGAACCGCAUGGUUCAAUAGUGAAAGACGGUUUUGCUGUCGCUUAUAGAUGGAUCCGCGCCGCAUUAGCUAGUUGGUAAGGUAACGGCUUACCAAGGCAACGAUGCGUAGCCGACCUGAGAGGGUGAUCGGCCACACUGGAACUGAGACACGGUCCAGACUCCUACGGGAGGCAGCAGUAGGGAAUCUUCCGCAAUGGGCGAAAGCCUGACGGAGCAACGCCGCGUGAGUGAUGAAGGUCUUCGGAUCGUAAAACUCUGUUAUUAGGGAAGAACAAAUGUGUAAGUAACUAUGCACGUCUUGACGGUACCUAAUCAGAAAGCCACGGCUAACUACGUG